GAAGAGAGAAACAGCUGGGUUAAAAAUUCUACAAAAUACACUCCAUAACACAUAGAUUUUCUGGGUUUUUCUCUUUGAAAUCUCGGAUUAGACUUGGUUUCUGGGAAGCAAUUCUUGUUGUACUGUUUUUGUUGAUACUGCUCCACUCAACUUGGCUAGAUAGUUGACUUUCUAACCUUUAUUUGAUCUAUUAAUUGUUGUUUUCUGCUCAUAGGUAUGUAAAAUUUUGCCUAUUAGUUUCUUUGUCACAAUUAUGAAUGAAGUUUGAACUAUUAGAUGUCAUUUGUGUUUGAUUCCUUCACUAUACUUUAUGGCAAGCAUGUUCUGUAUAAACUUCUGUUUCGACACUCAUCUGAUCUAAAUAUGUUGGUUGGAUUUGGCUUUUAACUCGUUUUACACAGCAGCUUUAAUGCCAUAUUUUUUUGACUUGUUGCUCUUUCUUCAAAAGUGAUUUCUAUCUUUGUCCAAUUUAUAUUUAGGUAAAGAUCAUGCAUGAAACUACUCAUUAAUAAUUUCAUUUUUUUAACGACUCACCAUGUUGGUGAGAUCCUUUAGUUGUCGCAUGUCUCAAUUAUUCCUUCUUAAAGAGGCUAGAAUAGAUUUAGACUUGAUGUUUAUCAAAGCUAAUUUAAGUAUUUGAAUGAUAGUUAUUGAUUCGUUGAUUGCAAGCUUGAGCUAUAUAUGUUCUGUUAAACAAAUUUACGGAAAAGAUACUGCUGGAAAAUAAUGGAAGGAAUCUUGGUGAAGGGUGAUUAUGCAAAGGCUUUAUUAGUUGUUUCUUCACGAGAAGUUUCAA
rnacentral:lncRNA from 1 species